rnacentral:rRNA from 1 species
GACGAACGCUGGCGGCGUGCUUAACACAUGCAAGUCGAACGGAAAGGCCCUGCUUUUGUGGGGUGCUCGAGUGGCGAACGGGUGAGUAACACGUGAGUAACCUGCCCUUGACUUUGGGAUAACUUCAGGAAACUGGGGCUAAUGCCGGAUAGGAGCUCCUGCUGCAUGGUGGAGGUUGGAAAGUUUCGGCGGUUGGGGAUGGACUCGCGGCUUAUCAGCUUGUUGGUGGGGUAGUGGCUUACCAAGGCUUUGACGGGUAGCCGGCCUGAGAGGGUGACCGGCCACAUUGGGACUGAGAUACGGCCCAGACUCCUACGGGAGGCAGCAGUGGGGAAUAUUGCACAAUGGGCGGAAGCCUGAUGCAGCAACGCCGCGUGCGGGAUGACGGCCUUCGGGUUGUAAACCGCUUUCGCCUGUGACGAAGCGUGAGUGACGGUAAUGGGUAAAGAAGCACCGGCUAACUACGUG